ensembl:lncRNA
CGCAUUUUCAAGUGUUUGUGGACUGCGUGUGGAAACUAAAAAGCAUUGUGCUUACACCAUAACAGUUAACUUUACUGCAUGAAAGGCUAACACGAGGCGCCGAUUCAGAGUGAAGUCUGGCUUUAAUGUACGUUCCUUUUAUUUGAGAGAUGAAACAGGAAGGAAAGUCCUAAAAAGGAUCAUUUCUUUUUUUGGUGAAGAUCUGAUGGGCUGCUAUUUAACUGCGUAAAACGUGAGGGGGUUGGAUGAUUUGCGGGUGGGUGUGUGUGUGAGAAAGAGAUUACAUUUUGACAUGUAUGCUUGAGUCACUUUUAUUGCCUCAGAGACUGUAUUUGGCUGCAGCAGAUAAGUUAAGAACAUCCACUCUCCAAAGACUCAUUGUUACACAGAGGCAUUCACUUGCAUCUGCAGAGGAACGAAAACUGCGGCUGGCUUUUUGUAGUACCUUCUAACACAUGCAUUUGAGUCUGAAAGAACACAGCUACACCGCACAUACAGCCAACAGGAUCAAGAAAAGUCGAGGUCAUUGCUCACACAGUUGAGAGUCAAGUCCAUCAUGAAAGCUGGAGUGGUUUUAAUCGGUUUCCUCCUCAGCACAGACAUCUACAUGACUGAAGGGAUACCUUUAGUUCAGUGCCGCUGCGCUAAAACAGUGGAUUAUAUACACCCUAAUUUAGUCAUUCACUGUAAACGGUACCCUCCUCGUGCAUACUGCUCCAAGGAAAAUGUAAUUGUGAUGUCGAAGAAAGGAAGAUCAGUCUGUCUUACCCCAAAUGGGAGCUUCGUAACAGGACUAAACAACGGACAAAUCAAAAUAAAAUGUGAUUAGAAUCAACACUCGUGAUUCUUUCCCCACUGGCCACUCAUUUCUGUGCACCCAAAACUGUACCAAACCCCCUGCUAUGCCUCUAAUAGUUUGUCUCUGAAGCUGAGCAAUGUGGACAGGCCAAUCUUGAAUGGAAGAUCCUAACAAGAAAAAAUGAAGACUGUAGUAUUACAAUAAUUGCAAGAAUGUUAUUGAAGUGGGAUUUAUUCAAAUAUAUACUGUAUAUUUAACUUGAUUUGUAUUUUUCUCACAUUGUACGACAAAUUAACAAGUUAGAGAAUAACAGCCUGCAGAAUUACUGAAAUGUCAGAUGUAAAUAACUUUACACAGACCUCAUCUUACUGUCCUGAUGAAUAAUACAUAUGUUUCUGUUGAUGUCACAAAUGAGUAACUUGUAGAGUUUGUCAUGAAUUUUUUUUUUAUUAUGACUGUGAAAACCUAGUAGUAAUACAUACCUGUUAUCUGAUUAGGAGGCUUAUUAAAAGUAAGAGCAAUUUAGCGGUCAAGAAAAAUGUAAUGUUCCUCUUACAUAAAAUGUGUUUUAUUCAAAGUACCAUUCUUUGUGUGGUUUACUCAUCUCUGUCUCUUUAUGUGGGAAAGAAUUACCACAACCUGUCCAGUAGAUGGCGAAGUGUAGACCAGAAAUGUUCUAGCAUACUGUGGAAAACUAUUCUACACACCACUCUCUAAUGUGCCAGAUUAGUGCCAAAUGUGGUGCAUAUACAGAAUUGCACAUGUGAGCAACAUACAUCUCCAAGAGAGCAGAAAACUUGACGCGUGUGUUGAGAACCAGUGCAAGUUCUGUUUGACAAAUCUACACUGAUUCAAACUAACAAAGAAAUAAAAGCAAGGCUGGAGGCAACAGC